rnacentral:rRNA from 1 species
CGAGCGAGCUUGCCUAGAUGAUUUUAGUGCUUGCACUAAAUGAAACUACAUACAAGCGAGCGGCGGACGGGUGAGUAACACGUGGGUAACCUGCCCAAGAGACUGGGAUAACACCUGGAAACAGACGCUAAUACCGGAUAACAACACUAGACGCAUGUCUAGAGUUUGAAAGAUGGUUCUGCUAUCACUCUUGGAUGGACCUGCGGUGCAUUAGCUAGUUGGUAAGGUAACGGCUUACCAAGGCAAUGAUGCAUAGCCGAGUUGAGAGACUGAUCGGCCACAUUGGGACUGAGACACGGCCCAAACUUCUACGGGAGGCAGCAGUAGGGAAUCUUCCACAAUGGACGAAAGUCUGAUGGAGCAACGCCGCGUGAGUGAAGAAGGGUUUCGGCUCGUAAAGCUCUGUUGGUAGUGAAGAAAGAUAGAGGUAGUAACUGGCCUUUAUUUGACGGUAAUUACUUAGAAAGUCACGGCUAACUACGUGCCAGCAGCCGCGGUAAUACGUAGGUGGCAAGCGUUGUCCGGAUUUAUUGGGCGUAAAGCGAGUGCAGGCGGUUCAAUAAGUCUGAUGUGAAAGCCUUCGGCUCAACCGGAGAAUUGCAUCAGAAACUGUUGAACUUGAGUGCAGAAGAGGAGAGUGGAACUCCAUGUGUAGCGGUGGAAUGCGUAGAUAUAUGGAAGAACACCAGUGGCGAAGGCGGCUCUCUGGUCUGCAACUGACGCUGAGGCUCGAAAGCAUGGGUAGCGAACAGGAUUAGAUACCCUGGUAGUCCAUGCCGUAAACGAUGAGUGCUAAGUGUUGGGAGGUUUCCGCCUCUCAGUGCUGCAGAUAAUGCAUUAAGCACUCCGCCUGGGGAGUACGACCGCAAGGUUGAAACUCAAAGGAAUUGACGGGGGCCCGCACAAGCGGUGGAGCAUGUGGUUUAAUUCGAAGCAACGCGAAGAACCUUACCAGGUCCUGACAUCCAGUGCAAACCUAAGAGAUUAGGUGUUCCCUUCGGGGACGCUGAGACAGGUGGUGCAUGGCUGUCGUCAGCUCGUGUCGUGAGAUGUUGGGUUAAGUCCCGCAACGAGCGCAACCCUCGUCAUUAGUUGCCAUCAUUAAGUUGGGCACUCUAAUGAGACUGCCGGUGACAAACCGGAGGAAGGUGGGGAUGACGUCAAGUCAUCAUGCCCUUUAUGACCUGGGCUACACACGUGCUACAAUGGACGGUACAACGUGAAGCGAACCUGCGAAGGCAAGCGGAUCUGUUAAAGCCGUUCUCAGUUCGG